GACAGAGGGCUUCACCUUAAUUUGCACAAAAAUUGAUUUGGGUUUCUAGGCUUGUCCUCUCUGAUGCCAUUUAGCUUUGAUUUGGGAGCAUGGUUUUAUAACAAAAUG